rnacentral:rRNA from 1 species
GAUGAACGCUGGCGGCGUGCCUAAUACAUGCAAGUCGAGCGAACAGACGAGGAGCUUGCUCCUCUGACGUUAGCGGCGGACGGGUGAGUAACACGUGGAUAACCUACCUAUAAGACUGGGAUAACUUCGGGAAACCGGAGCUAAUACCGGAUAAUAUAUUGAACCGCAUGGUUCAAUAGUGAAAGACGGUUUUGCUGUCACUUAUAGAUGGAUCCGCGCCGCAUUAGCUAGUUGGUAAGGUAACGGCUUACCAAGGCGACGAUGCGUAGCCGACCUGAGAGGGUGCUCGGCCACACUGGAACUGAGACACGGCCCAGACUCCGACGGGAGGCAGCAGUAGGGAAUUUUCCGAAAGGGGGGAAACCCUGACGGAGCAACGCCGCGGGAGUGAUGAAGGUCUUCGGAUCGUAAAACUCUGUUAUGAGGGAAGAAAAAAUGUGUAAGUAAAUAUGCACGUCUUGACGGUACAUAAUAAGAAAGCCACGGCUAACUACGUG